AAAUUCUGCCUAUAGAUUUCCUUACAUUCGGCAAAAUCGAUAUGGUAUCUCGUAAUCGGGGACUUUCCUCUAUUAAUUUCGCAUGUAUCUCAUGUAUUACCUACGUUAUAUUAAAAUGAAAUAAUCCUGAUAAGUAAUUUUCUUUUUAAUUAAUUAAAACCUAUUUGCUGUAAAAAAAUUAAUAAAACUAAUAAUGGUAUUAAGAAGUAAAAAACAAGAUUACGUGCUUUAGAAAUUAAAAACAUCAAUUUAAUACUUGCACAUUAUAUACAAAUAUUAAAUAAUAGUCGAACCAAAUUAUCAAUAAAUUUCUCAUUAUUUUCAAAUUGUGAAAACUCGGAUUAAGAAGUAAUGCUUUUCGGAAUUUUAACCAGAUAAACCCAAGGAAAAUUAGAGAAAACGCAGCGAAAUCUAAUAUGGUUACUAUUAAUAGCAAUAAUUUAAAAUAUAUGCGACUUAUCGCUUCUUGAAAUAAUUGAUAAUUACAAACCACAAAUAUGUAGAUAUGAGGCACGUGAGUACGUUCUGAAUACGUUCAAAAUUUGUGUAUCGUCAUGUGGCUAGACGUUUACAUGACACGUAUACGUUCUAUGUCACAAAUUCUGAUUAUUAUCUAUAACAUUGCGUCGAUAAAAGAUACAGAAUUCGAAGGCGGAUGUCGGUGCUUCUGUCCCGAAUGUUGUUAAAUCAACCGGAUGACGCAGGAAACAAACAUCGCAGAUAUAAUAUCUGCGUUGCUCCAAUCUGUCAGAUGAUUUCCUAUCGAGCAUGUUUUCGUCGACGCCUUAUAAUAAUAAUCAUCACCGAUUUUGCAACGCGUGCAUUUGCGUGUGACACACGUCAAGCCGACGCGCGCUCGACGUAAGUCCGCCGCUCGUAAACUCAGGCGGAUCGUGCGCCUUAAUAUCGAGGUCCACUUCGCUACUUCGAUCUCUAAUUAAUUACUAGGCGAAUCGCGUGAUCGUGUAUACGUGAUGCACGUGGUGUCGAGAGGUUGAGGAAACGGGAAAAAAUGGACUUUCCUUCUACGAUUCGCGAAAUCUCCCGCUUUCCCUAUGUAUAAUUAACACGUGCGCGCGUACGACGAUGUCACGUGGCUUUAAGCGACGCGUAAUGAUUCUACGUGGAAAAUGUUAGAGGUCUGUAUUAUAGUGCGAUCGUUAAAAGUAUCUCUCGGUGAAUCCCGAGACUAUGCGAGCAUUGCAGCUAGGGUCCAAACCCAACGCAGCUCAGUGGUCAUAUUUUAUCCCAAGGCCAUCCCAUCCCAUAUUCUUCCAACAGGACUAAAAUGUGUGUUCAGGUAUAGGACUCACAUGGUCCCCGUGGGUGCGACAAGGCGCAUAAAGAUGUCAUUGACUGAAGAGUUCAAAGAUUCACCGCUUAUUGGUGAGAAGUUUGACCGAGUGGAUGUGCUGUCACGCUAAAUUGCUCAUCUUGCGAGGGAUCUAUUGCCGGAUUUUUCCACCGCCCGUUUCAGGGUGAUUUUGAUGGGUCAAAACAUUGCUGUAGAAGCGAGAUCGCAGGAGCGGUCUGAGGACGGCGAGCAUUAGUUGUGCGAGCAUUGCAGGCCUUAUGAUACCUGAAGUUCUUCAAGUCAAGCAAAGUGCAAAGGAUCUGCAACGUGCAUAGGGUAGGAUAGGCUCUUGUGAAAUUUUUAUCUUCGACUAUCUCCAACAGGCUCUAAGUGCACUUUGGUUGAUCUAUAAUUACAAUAUAUAAAGCCUCAAUAUAUAAAGUCCUCAGUCUUUCCUCCGCAAUGAGAGAAAACUUCGCCUACGAGCUUCGUUUGGUAGUAGUAGUGUUUCUGCAACUCUCGUUAAAAGUUCCAGACAAGAGUUAGUCAUAGAAAAUUAUGGAUUUUAGAAAUAUAUUUCAACCUGACAUAUUAUAUGAGCAAGUAUCGCAACAAAGUUGAAUUUGACAACGGACCUCGCGUCAAGUGCUCUCGGGAAUUCCCCUUUCUGUAUCAUUUUCGCAACAAUAAAAAUAUUAACUAAUCCAUCAAACGAUAAUCAGAUCCAAAAGUAUUUGCAUCAGAUACGAUCGCAUCGUAUCAAGUCUUCAUAAGAUUCUUGCACAUGAUAAUGCGCGGUUCCACAAUGAUAUCGUAACUUUGCAAUUGUGAUAACACGCAUUUCAUCGACGAAAACGUGACGACGAUCACUCUUCGAUAAAUGAUCAACCAGUGAUCGUUCUUGCGGCGAAUUACGGCACGCUCAACGCGCAUUCCGCUCCCGAUUGUCGCACGUGUGCCCGCAAUCUGCGAAUUUCACGAAGGGAAACCCACGGAAACGCACCCGCGAAUCCGUGGGUGGUUGAUGAAUUGAUUAUGCGGAGCCACGUGCAAAAGAACUGUUCAACUAUAGGUGUGCACGCGCGUGGGCGUGCGCGACAAAAUGGACUGCCACGUGCGGCAUUCGUCGUAAAUGAGCUACACGUGGGAACACGUGCCAACAACGUUGGCAGUGUUGGCGAUCCACUUGCACUCGCACGGGGCAAUUGUGCGAAUCAUCGGAGUGGCGCUUUAUUUUUAUUUACGAGAUACUCCGACGCGCGAUGCGUCUUUAUCUUCCGAGCGAAGCUUGGAGAUCACGCAACGACUUCUCUCUCUCACACACACACACACACACACAAAAUUCUUCUUUUUUUUUAAUCUCAACGCAAUAUCGAACGGAAGUAUGUAUAAUCUGAGCGCAGACGCCGGUGUAAUAAUACACCAAAUCGAUAUCGCAGUUAUCAAGUUCAGCGUGACGUCACGGAGAGGAUCCUGCGAAGCAGAUCAAGAACGUCAGUGAUUCUUUACAAUCUAGUAACUUAAAACAAUGACGUAGUAAAUUCAAUGACGUGAUGGAAUAUUAACAGGGCUCUUGUAUUAAUAGAUAAUAGAAGAGCGCGAGAGCUCUAGUUUUAGCAAAGGCUUGUAGUUUUACAAGAAUGAAGGCGCGUUUUAUCGCGUACUGGCCGUAUGUCUGAAUCGCAAAUUUGCACAGUAGUACGGCAAUGACGACACUUGUACAAACAACAUUAACGUCUCACUGUGUGUAUAAUUACAAUUAUUUAAUAUUGUCAAAUAAUGACUUGUCAAUAUAGAUCUCUCUUGCAAAUGGUCAACUGGAAAUUUUAUCGUACUUCGUUCAGAAAUAUCAAUUCUCGAUAGCUUAUCGGUAUAUAAUUGCAUUUAUAUGUAUAAAAACAUUGCAGAUAUCACUACAAUAAUAUCGCAAAUAUUAUUCUUUAAUUUCUCAAAGUUUUUGCUUCAGCAGCAGCAAUAUAUUAAGCAAGUAAAACUACAGAAAUUACAAUACUUAUUUUAAAUAAAUUGAGAGAGAAAGAGAAAGAAUAAUAAAACAACUAAAGGCUUGAAAAUGUAAUUACACAUACAUGUAUUUGCCAUUGAUUGAUCCUCUUUGCGGAUAACAUCAAACAAUCAGCUCACGAGUCAUUGGUUACCGCAAUCAUCAUGUGGGUGGCGCACUCGCAAUUAAUGCACCGAUUGUUCUCUCGCAGUUGAUUAUCCGAAUAGUAUACGAUCCUGUACGUGAAAAGAGCCGGCGAUCGAGAGCCGGCGGGCAAUAAUUUAGCGCGUAAUAAAAGCCGCGCCGUAUCUCGUUCCCGUGAUCGUCUCGACCGCGAUAUCGCGCAGCAAUAAUUAUUCACGCUGUUCUUUGCGCCCCUCAUGUGAUAAGAUCACGUGAGAAGAGCCGGCGGUCUCGUGACCGUCGGAGAUUAAUACAUUUUUUUCAUCCUGCACUUUCGUAACGAGAGCGUCACGUAUUAUUAACUCGGCGAGACUCUCGACGCGAUCGAAGUUCGAUCGAUAAAUCUCCGAAAAAACCCGUGUGAAAGCUUGAAAAAAUUCAUCAGCGGUUAGACACCUUGUAUUUAUAUUUUCGAGAUUAAAAUUUAUUUCUCUUCUCUCUCCCCGAGGGAAUUUAUGAGACAAUGUUAGUGUAUGUAAAACUGAAUGCAAUACGCAACAAUAUUAUUCCACGUAAAUUUUAUGCGAAGAACUUUCCGUGAAGUGUAAAAAAAAGUGUCUCUUUAGAAACGCACACACACUGCGACGUCACUGAUUUAAAACAUUAUUUGUACAGCUUCCGUUCUGACUUUCUGAUAAUAUGCACAGCAUCAACGAUGCGUCACUGUUGCGCAGCAUACAAUUCGUAUAUUUAUGUGGUUUAUAUAGAUUUUCUUUGAAGAAAUGACGAUACACAAUCGAUCCUGUCCUGCGAGUUUUAAAUUGCGAUUGCGUCGUUACGUAAAAUGCAUACAUCGGCAUGCGUGUAACCACGAUCGUUUUCUAAUGCGUUCUUACGUCACGACGGCCUGUAUACGACAGCUUUCGUUAUCACAAUGCGGAGCGAUCGUAAGCACAAUUUAUGAAAAAGAUACAUACGAAUACGAGCACCUCAGUGUACAUUCGCUUCAAAAUAAUCAUUAUAAUAGUCAUCGUGAACGUCAUCGGCGAUGGUAAAUUGCGCACGAUGAAUAUUAUUGACAUUUCAAAUAAAGAUAGCAUGUCACAACUAUAAAAUAUGAGAGAGAGAGAAUUCUGUUUUAUAAAAUAUGGAAAAUACGAUCUACAAUAAAUCUUUAAUAAAUAAUUAAUAAAUCUUGCAAUGUUUUCAGAGAUAUAAUGCCGUCGCUUUAUUCUCCAAUGCUGGAUGCGAUGUCUGAGGAACCUGCUAUCCGUAUAUAAUACGAUAAAAAUGUAUCACGCGGCAAAAGAGAAUACGAGAAGUCAUUGUUUACAUGCCUCUACAUUUCGUGACCGGCAAUUUCGCGAGCAGACGGAAAAUUACGAGACCGAUCAAGCUACAAAAGGACCGUAAAAGCACCCGUAAAUAAUGCGUCGAGCCAAGGACGGGACAGGUUGAAAUUUGAAGAAGUGCACAGAACGCAUCUGAGCAGACCACACGCCGGCCUUGAGCGGGAUCGAAUAAUGCGGUACAUGACUUGAGCGGAUCAGCAACGUCGCUCAACAACAAUUUCGAUAAUUAACGACCGGCCACGAAGGCCUCUGAUUUCCCACCGAACUCCAGAUCCGGCGGGUGAAACAAACAGAUAAACCUGCAUCGGUCGUGUGCGAUUUACUCGCGGAUCAAUUUUGUUGAUUCCUCGCUCAUCAAUCUUUGAAGAUAGAUAGUAGAAGAUAGAUCGAAGAAGAUCUUAAGAGUUUAAUUUCAGACAAAGUUUUCUUCAAGAUAAUACCAAAAUGCUCAUCAAUUUUGUUUUUCGAAAUUAAAAAGUAAGUUAGACCUCUCAAUUAAAUUGCGACAUUCAAAUGUCAUGUGUCUACAUAGAUUUAAAUAAAGAAGACUAUUAUUUUGGAAAGCACGCGACGUGUCAAAAAGAUAUUAAGUAUAAAUUUUCGGAUAAAAAUGGAAACUGUUCAAAAAUUUACGAUAUUUUCGGAGACAAUACUUUCCCAUCGGAUGGAAAAAUUCGACCGAAUCAGGGAAAAGUAAUGCGACCAAGAAGCUAGAAAAAUAAUUUGUUUAAUACCAAUUAGAAAAGAGAGAGAUAGUAGUUAGAAAAUACAAAAUUGCGCAAUACUUCUUUAAACUACAUCAUUAAGAAAGUUACCGUUACAAGAUGAACAUGAUUAAGCACACCAAGACGCAUUGUCAUGUGUGCAACGUCACGGAUGGUUCCAUCCAUCACCGACUACGACGUUAUCACAGACAAAAUGCCAAAUGAUGUCUCCGCCUGGCACACUCCUUAAGUGAAACCAGUUCGAGCUGGUAGUAAGAAGUCGCGAAUUGUCUUGUGGUGACGUUAAUCGAUCGUACCAGGUUCAAAUGACUACGCUUACAGCCGAGAGUAAAGAAAGAGAAUGACUGCGCACAUUCGAAAUAAAGAGAAUGCUGGCUCCGAAAAGUAACAUCUUUUUGUAUUUUCAUAUAUUUAUGUGUUUUCAUAUUCUAUUUUACUUUAAUACAACGACUCGUACAGUGUACGCAGUGUAAGGCAUGUGAAAAAUUUCCGUUUAUGUUAUCGCUCCUUUUUUACUGGCCAGAAUAUCAAGCGCAGUCGCCAUUGUUUCGAUCGAUAAGAGAUUUUUAUCGUAUGAGGUCCCGCUGAUAAGCUUUAUCGUAGAAGAAAAGAAUGUAAAAAUCGAACUGGCCUAUUGUGCAUAUAUUGAACCGAAGCUUGCGCCUGAAAAGGACACUUGUAUUCAUUUACGAUCGAUAUAAAUAUGAUAAAUCGAUCUGCAUUAUAUAUCUCGUUUUUGUUACGAAAUUAUUACAUCAUGCACAAGUCAAUGCCCGCUAUCUAGCAUAUUCCGCGAAUAAUCGAAAAAUAUAUAUAUUUUUAGCGUUUGUAAAUUAUUCUUUCCUAAAUUCAAGAUUUCAAAAUAAAAAUCUAAUCUAAAAUGAUAAAUAUUUCAAAAGGGACUUUUGAAACAUCGGGAUUUGAAAAAUAUAAUCCUUAUCUAAUUGAUAUUUACUUAAAACCCGCACAAAGUUUAAAGAUAAUGAUGCAUCAAAAACAAUCGUAUAUAUUUUUAAAUUCUAUUGCAUUUAACAAUAUAAACCUCUUUUUAGAAACGUGGAAAAUGUUUCUCCUCAUGAGGAAGCUGCAAGAAAUCGUAUUUUAUAUGAGAAACAUAAACACGGAUAAGCGUAAAUCAGACAGUCGCGGCGGAAUGAAGUUCGUAAGUUUUUUAAUGCGUCGUUUCGGCAGUCACAAAGCCGCUCGUAACAAACGGCUCGUGGACCACGCCGCGGUGGGAUCGAAUAAAAAGCUAAAAAAGACGAUGAAAAGAGAAGGAGAGACAGGAAGAAAGCAAGGAGAGAAGAACGAGAUAUAAGAGGAUGUCGGUUUUUGCGACUCUCUCCCCGUCUGCAUUCCACGAUGUAGGCAACAACCUUGUGAAUGCAUUUGUACGCUCGUACGGGAGAAAAUGUUACGAACGAAACAUCGAAAAAGCAGUCCGAGAGUUGAACUUGAAAUGGAUGCUUACAAUACUAUAAAAGUAUUGAUACUUUCGUUUUGCUCAUUUAACGUAUUUACAAGUUAUACAUGUUUCGCACAUACUUUAGAAAUUGACCGUGAACUCAAAAAUUUUACAAAAAUUUGGUAUCAUAAUUUGAUAAAACAAUUAAAAAUUAGGCAAAACUUAGGAUUAAAAAUCGGGCAAAUAAAAAUAAAUGUUUACAUAUAACAUGUCAUUAAGAGAGAAAGGAUACGUAGAAUUUCUAACGACUUUUCUUUCAAAAUUCUUGUAACAGCUGAUUAUUUCCUAAUGAGUCUUUAUAACAUAAUUACAAAAUGAUACUUAUAAAAUGCAUGUAUACCACGUAGAGUAAAUCCGACAAAAACGUGAAGAACGCGCUAUUACACGCAACGUGCUGUUACAACGUAUAAAAUAAAUUAAAAGAGAUUUCAAAGCAAGCUGAUUUAUAUGGUAAUAUCCUUAGUAAUAUCAUACUAAUAGAUUUAUCUCGUAAAGAAAAUUUUCACCGUGAAUCUCGUUGAAUCAAUUUAAAUAGAAGCAACGUCAAUGUGUAUAGAUAUAUAACGCACAAAUGCGACGGCGUUCCAAGUCCGCGAAGCGCCAUUUAAUCCGCAUAAUGUACUCGCAAGGUUGCGGUAAAAUGCACAUUUCUCAGCACACGGAUGGUACAGCAAUAAUAGCAGCAACAGCAAACAUAAUAAAGCGUCGCUGCUUUCCGGGAAAGCGAACAGGAUAUCGUUCGUUGAAAAUUCCUUGUCAUUCCGUGUAAAGAUAAACCGACCUUUGGAAACAACGCGUCACUCGACGCGAAAAUCCGAACCUAUUUGCAGAGGAGACAAUAUUUGCCACUAUUACCUACGUCGUUCGGAACGAAUAUUUUCGACGGGAUCAGACAUGUGCUACGGUGGUAGCCAAAAACGUGACACUUGAACAAAUCGCAAACGAUUGCAUUUCAGCGAAAAUAUUUUUGUUUCAAGGACGACGAGCAGCUUCUGACGCUUUCUCGAAAUAUCAAUGUCCGGCAAAUUAAAAAACAG